GAGGGGUUCGUAUAGUGGUAGUACGGCGCUCUCCAAAAGCGCACGCGUGGGUUCGAUUCCUACACCCCCUG
rfam:Candidatus Buchananbacteria bacterium RIFCSPLOWO2_01_FTLL_56_15 rifcsplowo2_01_scaffold_21919, whole genome shotgun sequence.